rnacentral:tRNA from 1 species
GGAAGCUGAUGGGGCCUGGUGGCUCCCGCGGUCUUCAAAACCGUUGGCUGUACCAAUAGCAGCGGCAGGUUCGAUUCCUGCCUCUUCCGUACCA